rnacentral:rRNA from 1 species
GAUGAACGCUGGCGGCGUGCCUAAUACAUGCAAGUCGAGCGAACGGACGAGAAGCUUGCUUUUCUGAUGUUAGCGGCGGACGGGUGAGUAACACGUGGAUAACCUACCUAUAAGACUGGGAUAACUUCGUGAAACCGGAGCUAAUACCGGAUAAUAUUUUGAACCGCAUGGUUCAAAAGUGAAAGACGGUCUUGCUGUCACUUAUAGAUGUAUCCGCGCUGCAUUAGCUAGUUGGUAAGGUAACGGCUUACCAAGGCAACGAUGCAUAGCCGACCUGAGAGGGUGAUCGGCCACACUGGAACUGAGACACGGUCCAGACUCCUACGGGAGGCAGCAGUAGGGAAUCUUCCGCAAUGGGCGAAAGCCUGAAGGAGCAACGCCGCGUGAGUGAUGAAGGUCUUCGGAUCGUAAAACUCUGUUAUUAGGGAAGAACAUAUGUGUAAGUAACUGUGCACAUCUUGACGGUACCUAAUCAGAAAGCCACGGCUAACUACGUG